rnacentral:rRNA from 2 species
ACGGGAGGCAGCAGUGGGGAAUAUUGGGCAAUGGGCGAAAGCCUGACCCAGCGACGCCGCGUGAGGGAAGACGGUCUUCGGAUUGUAAACCUCUUUUAUGUGGGACGAUAAUGACGGUACCACAUGAAUAAGCCACGGCUAACUACGUGCCAGCAGCCGCGGUAAUACGUAGGUGGCGAGCGUUAUCCGGAUUUACUGGGUGUAAAGGGUGUGUAGGCGGGAUUGCAAGUCAGGUGUGAAAACCAUGAGCUUAACUCAUGGCUUGCACUUGAAACUGUAGUUCUUGAGGGUCGGAGAGGUAACUGGAAUUCCUGGUGUAGCGGUGAAAUGCGUAGAUAUCAGGAGGAACACCGGUGGCGAAGGCGGGUUACUGGACGAUUACUGACGCUGAGACACGAAAGCGUGGGGAGCAAACAGGAUUAGAUACCCUGGUA